GCGGAUUUACUCAAGUGGUUAAGAGGAUCCCCUGCUAAGGGAUUAGGCCGAGGAAUCGGUGCGAGAGUUCGAAUCUCUUGAUCCGCGCCA
rnacentral:tRNA from 1 species